CAGCAGCCGCGGUAAUACGUAGGUGGCAAGCGUUGUCCGGAAUUAUUGGGCGUAAAGGGCCCGCAGGCGGUUUCUUAAGUCUGAUGUGAAAGCCCCCGGCUCAACCGGGGAGGGUCAUUGGAAACUGGGAAACUUGAGUGCAGAAGAGGAGAGUGGAAUUCCACGUGUAGCGGUGAAAUGCGUAGAGAUGUGGAGGAACACCAGUGGCGAAGGCGACUCUCUGGUCUGUAACUGACGCUGGGGAGCGAAAGCGUGGGGAGCGAACAGGAUUAGAUACCCCUGUAGUCCCUGUCUCUUAUAC
rnacentral:rRNA from 1 species